UAACGGCGAAGUGAAGCGGCAAAAGCUCAAAUUUGAAAUCCCCCGGGAAUUUGUAAUUUGAAGAGAUUUGGGUCCGGCCGGCGGGGGUUAAGUCCACUGGAAAGUGGCGCCACAGAGGGUGACAGCCCCGUGAACCCCUUCAAAGCCCUCAUCCCAGAUCUCCAAGAGUCGAGUUGUUUGGGAAUGCAGCUCUAAGUGGGUGGUAAAUUCCAUCUAAAGCUAAAUACCGGCGAGAGACCGAUAGCGAACAAGUACAGUGAUGGAAAGAUGAAAAGCACUUUGAAAAGAGAGUGAAAAAGUACGUGAAAUUGUUGAAAGGGAAGGGCUUGCAAGCAGACACUUAACUGGGCCAGCAUCGGGGCGGCGGGAAACAAAACCACCGGGGAAUGUACCUUUCGAGGAUUAUAACCCCGGUCUCUAUUUCCAUGUUGCCCCGAGGCCUGCAAUCUAAGGAUGCUGGCGUAAUGGUUGCAAGUCGCCCGUCUUGAAACACGGACCAAGGAGUCUAACAAUCAUGCAAGUGUUUGGGCCCAAAACCCAUACGCGCAAUGAAAGUAACCGGAGCGAACCUU
rnacentral:rRNA from 1 species